GAAAGAUUUGGGGUGGAGGCAGCAGGAGAGGCUGUGAGCUUCCUCCUUUCCAGCUCUGCAUUGGAGUGUCUCUGCCUGAAGCUGGCCCUACCCUUGGAACACCUGCUCCUUCUCUCCAAGCUGUGCUCGUUGGGUUUGCAUGCCCUGGAUGAAACCGAACUGACACAGUGCUGCUUUUGCAAUGGUGUUCAAAGCCUGCAAUGAAGGCACACGGCUGCUGCUAAUGGAGCAGUAAGAGCAGGCAGCAGGGCAGUACCUGAAUGUGCUGGAUGGGAUGACCCACCUUGGUGACUGUGAGCCAGGAUGUGUGAGCAGCUGGUGUCCUGGACACCAGGGUGCUUGCAGAGUUAAUGUUUGACUGACCUGUGUGUCAGGUGACCUCUUGCAGUUUAGAAGUCAAGUCAUGCAUGGAGUCAACCAAGGAAGAAAUCAUGUGGAGAGGUGGGGUGAGGUACUUGGCCAAGAGGCAAAGCAAAUAAAUGAUGAAUGAGUUAAAACAACACUUCAGGUUAUAACCAGAAGGGAGGCUCUGCUGAGAAGCUGUCUCUAGUCUCU
ensembl:lncRNA